rnacentral:lncRNA from 1 species
UCGUGCGCCUCAAUAUUUUCGACCAUAUUUCCAAGCGGAACCCUUCUUCAAUUUCAAGACUGCCGUCUCUCCUAGAUUUCAAUCGGUUGGUGUUCCUAUUGCUCGGCUUUUCUCUUAUUUUCGAGCUAUAGCAGGUAUGUCUUGCGCAAGAAAAAUCUAUCUAUUGUCGGUGCCACGAAGGCUCGAAUCAAUGCUUAAAGAUUAUCAUCUCUCUUCAGUCUUCGCAAUCGAUGCGCCAUAGAUAUCUUUCUGAACGUAUAAUUGUCAAUUUCGAGAUUCUUUUGGAUUCUAAUUUAUUUGCAAAAAGCCCUAAAUUUACUCAAUUAUUCGCUACUGAUUUACCCAAUCUUUUGUUGAAUGGUAUUGGUUGUUUAUAUGUUUUCUAAAUUACAAUGCUUCAAAUUUGUUUAAGAAUUUAUAACAUUAUUAUAUUGGGGCACAUUUAUCAGACUCUUGUUUAUCGUUUUUGUUUGCAACAAACUGUUUUUUACCCUUUAGCUUUUAUUGAUUAUUUUAUGCAACUUUACUUAUAUAUUGUUAUAUAAAAUUAAUGUAUAAAUACGUUUUUGCAGGUUCUUAUUUGUGCACUAGUAGACAGAGUUCUAUGCCUGACUAUACAUAAUGGAUUUUAUCACGAAGCACAGAUACUAUGUUUUCAUAUAUCUUUCCUAAUAACUUGUGAAUGCAUAUAGUUUUUUUGUUCUCAAUUGAUUUUUUGCACCAUGUAAUUCAUUCUAGAUAUUGUGUUUUCUUUAAAUUUUAGCAUGAAUGCCAAAAACAAAUUGCCUUAUACAAAUUCUCAUUCAUAAAACUAGAUAACAGAGAUGUUAGACAUGAGUAUAGUACAUUCCAUUUUUUUUUCAUGUGUUGAAUAAACUCUCUUUCUGUACUUGCUUUUUUUUUUCUUUUUUUUUUCUAUACAGAUAGAAUUUACUGAUAACAUAUAUUUUUUUAUGUAUUCAGGUAUUAGAUGGAACAUAUUAACGGAAGAUUCGGUACUUUCGAUGAUUCAAAUGGUAGGUAAUAUCUAUAAAAGUUCUUUUAUGCAUUAUCACUUAUUUUCUUGUUGUACAAAAUUUUUGGUACAAAUGAACAACUAUUAGAUGUUUGAUGCAAUAUUGAGGCUGACGAGUCUCCAUCCAUAUGACUGGUAUGAAAUUGAUCAUGAACGUAGGUUGUACGAUAUUUUAACGUGGAGAAAAUAGUUUUAUAGCCGGUCGCUCUUCUUUGUUCACUGAAAUAACUUAUUUUUAGUUUUCUUUUAAUUUUAACAGGUGAAGGUCAAGAAUGGUGAAUAGCUACAUAUAUGAGUUUGAGAUGCAAUGCUCUCAUGUAGUCACAGACAUUUUAUUGUACUCCAUACUUUUUUUUGAGAAUCUACUUUGAAUAGUACUAGAAGAUAGCUAGUAUAUUUGUAGACUUACAUGAAUUGGAUUCAAAUAUUAAUGAAAAGUAUUUAUUCUGUAAUCUACCUUUUCUUGUACUUGUUUUGUAUUUUUCAGGGAUAACUCUUUAAAUAUUAG